UAGCGGCGCGCUUAAUGCAUGCAAGUCGAGCGAUGAGGCCCUCUUCGGAGGGUACAUCAGCGGCAGACGGGUGAGUAACACGUAGGUGACCUGCCCUAAAGCUGGGGAUAACGGAUGGAAACAUACGCUAAUACCCAAUAGACCUGUGAGGUCGCACUCAUAGGUAAAGCUCCGGCGCUUUAGGAGGGGCCUGCGGCCCAUCAGCUAGUUGGUAGGGUAACGGCCUACCAAGGCGAAGACGGGUAGGGGGUGUGAGAGCACGACCCCCCACAAUGGGACUGAGACACGGCCCAUACUUCUACGGGAGGCAGCAGCAGGGAAUAUUGCACAAUGGACGCAAGUCUGAUGCAGCGACGCCGCGUGGAUGAUGAAGGCCCUCGGGUCGUAAAAUCCUUUUCAGGGGGACGAGGAAGGACGGUACCCCUGGAAUAAGCGUCGGCUAACUACGUGCCAGCAGCCGCGGUAAGACGUAGGACGCAAGCGUUAUCCGGAUUUACUGGGCGUAAAGCGUCUGUAGGCGGUUCGAUAAGUUGGGCGUGAAAGCUCCGGGCUUAACCCGGAGAGGUCGUUCAAUACUGUCGAACUAGAGGACAUCAGAGGAGCAUGGAAUUUCCGGUGUAGCGGUAAAAUGCGCAGAUAUCGGAAGGAACACCAGUGGCGAAGGCGGUGCUCUGGGGUGGGCCUGACGCUGAGAGACGAAAGCUAGGGGAGCGAACAGGAUUAGAGACCCUGGUAGUCCUAGCCCCUAAACGAUGGAUGCUAGGUGUGGGG
rnacentral:rRNA from 1 species